rnacentral:rRNA from 1 species
GACGAACGUUGGCGGUGCGCUUAAUGCAUGCAAGUCGAACGAGAACUGGUUCAUUCGUAAGAAUGUUCCAGGGACAGUGGCGAACGGGUGCGUAACACGUGAGAAACCUGCCCUGGAGAUCGGGAUAGCCCGAGGAAACUCGGAUUAAUACCGAAUGCCUUCACCGAGUCGCAUGGCUCUAUGAAGAAAUGGUCCGCCGCUCCAGGAUGGUCUCGCGGCCUAUCAGCUUGUUGGUGAGGUAACGGCUCACCAAGGCAACGACGGGUAGCUGGUCUGAGAGGACGAUCAGUCACACUGGGACUGAGACACGGCCCAGACUCCUACGGGAGGCAGCAGCAGGGAAUAUUGCACAAUGGGCGAAGGCCUGAUGCAGCGACACCGCGUGCGGGAUGAAGGCCUUCGGGUUGUAAACCGCUUUCAGGAGGGACGAAAAUGACGGUACCUCCAGAAGAAGGCCCGGCCAACUAUGUG